rnacentral:tRNA from 1 species
UUAAUUGAAACCAAAAUUUAGGUAAAUUAUUGUUAAUAAUUUCUUUGAGAUUAAUAUCUCCAAUUAAA